CUAAAUGUAACACCCCGUAUUUUUAUACCCGUUUUAGUAAUUAGUUACAUUAAUUUAUUUUAGGAAAAUAAUUUCAAAUGUCUUUUAUUUAAAAAUAUAUUUCGUUUACUAGCUUUGGCUUUAUCUUUGAAGUGGUCAAAAACAAAUUCCUAGAUUUACUAGAUUUACUAUCUAGUGCAUAUCACUAUAUUAAUAUAAGGAGAGAGAAAGUAAAAAUAAAAAAUAAAAGAAAGUCUUCAUCUCCUCAUCUAACCUACGUGCAGUAGCUUUAAAAAAAAAAAGGACGAAGCCUUCCUCACACUGAUCAUCUUCUUCUCCAUUUAUUUUUCCCUUAUUUUUGACUCAAUAUCCUAAAUUCACAAAUUUUGUUCAACUUUCUUCACAAUUCAACCUUCCUUCAUCUACCUUUUAUAAUACUUAGAUAUUGUGAGUAUUUCAAAGAGGGAAAAAUUGGGUUUUAUUUUGGACGUUUUUGGGACGAACUUCGGAUCGAAAGUGCGAUUUCGGGUCUCUUAUUGUGUAAUUUUAUCUUCCCCUAAUCAAAUUGCGGGUUCAUAGAGGAACCUUUUUGACUUGAGAUUGAGAUACACUGACUGUGUUUGCUACUAAGGGACUUGAAGAUAGUUAGCUCCAGUUGGGUUAAAGAGUGCGUUGGAUCCCUUUUGAUUUAUAGGACUUUUAAAAAGACUUCCGCUCUUAUUUAUCUAUAAGAUUUAUGUUCUGGUUUGUAAUAAUUAUUUUACAUUCUAUUUAGUUGGUCUGUAAUAACUAGUUAAAAAUUUUGGUUAUUGUUUUGGUUAGAACCAUUAGCCUUGCGGUUAUUAUUAAUAAUUAUCACGGCGUAGCAUCUUUGGAUUUC